AGGCCAGGAAGCGGCGCCGGGUACCAACGGGUUGAGCAAUUCCAAAAGCGGGAUGCAGCAUCUGCAAAUGAGGGGGAAGGGCGGCGUAAAGGACCGAGGGGAAAAUACGAGGAGGAGAAAGGAAGUAGCAGGUAUGAGCGGAGGGGGCGUAUACAGUCGGAAGGGCUCCACUGACAACUGCCUGAGGAGCACUUCUUGAAGGCACUCAGGACCAAGUUGCCAACCCCGGGCACAAUCAUUCAGGGUUUUCAGGAUCGUUCAAACGCAGCAGGCGGGGAAACGCUGGGCCUGGCUGGUCAGGCGCCAGCCCGCGGAGACCGAAGCCGUCGGGUGCCUCGAGCGAGGCAAGCCGCGCAGGGGACUCGGGGAAAGAAGGCUGCAGGCCCCACACUCACGGCAGCCGUUCCCCUUCAGAGUCCGACCACAAUCAGAGCCCCUGCCCCACCACGUUCCCGGGACCCUUCCCCACCUUUCCCCGCAGAUGACACUCGGAGCUUCCGGAAACGUCACAUCCGGCGCCCGCUCCGCCCACUCCCUCCCGUCGGUUUAUUACUCUCUCAAGGAUUUAGGACUUGGGAUGGAGAGCUAGUUGGUGGGGCGUGAAUCACCUGCUGAAAAUCUGACCAAUGAGGAGCGAACAAUGCAUCGGCCAUCUUGGUAAAGGGAAAAGGAACAGGGAAGAAGACGGAACCAAUGACCAAGCUAAGCUGGAGUUGGAAUUACCCAAUGAAAUUGUUUCUUGAGAAGGCUACUGUAAAACCAGUAAUAUGAAGGUGAAUCUGUGGUUUGGAGCUCCACCUAUAGUUUGUUUGAAGACUUGUCUCUCUCAUCGCCAAGAAAAAUUAUCACUUUGGAAAAUGAGUCCUUAUGCAUGCUUGGAAAGAUGUUUAAUGUGUAUAUAUUUCUAAAUUUAUGUUUAAAUCUGUACAUGAGGAAUCCAUUUUAUAUUAGACAUAUUUUCUUUUGUUACCUGCUUGCUAGAUGUGGACUAUAUAAUUUAUUUUCCAAUAAUUCAAA